rnacentral:rRNA from 1 species
GAUGAACGCUCGCGGCAGGCUUAACACAUGCAAGUCGAGGGGCAGCGCGGGAUAGCAAUAUCCUGGCGGCGACCGGCGGAAGGGUGCGUAACGCGUGAGCGACAUGCCCGUUGCCCGGGGACAACCGGUGGAAACGCCGACUAAUCCCCGAUGGGAUACGAUGCUUCAUGGCAUUGUAUUGAAAGUUACGGCGGCGACGGAUUGGCUCGCGUCCGAUUAGCUGGUUGGCGGGGUAACGGCCCACCAAGGCUGCGAUCGGUAGGGGUUCUGAGAGGAAGGCCCCCCACAAUGGGACUGAGACACGGCCCAUACUCCUACGGGAGGCAGCAGUGAGGAAUAUUGGUCAAUGGGCGGAAGCCUGAACCAGCCAUGCCGCGUGCGGGAAGGAGGCCCUAUGGGCUGUGAACCGCUUUUGCCUGGGGGCAAUAAGGGCGUCGCGCACGUCCGAUGAGAGUACCAGGCGAAUAAGCAUCGGCUAACUCCGUG